UACGUAGGGUGCGAGCGUUGUCCGGAAUUACUGGGCGUAAAGAGCUCGUAGGCGGUUUGUCGCGUCCGCUGUGAAAACUGGAGGCUCAACCUCCAGCCUGCAGUGGGUACGGGCAGACUAGAGUGCGGUAGGGGAGAUUGGAAUUCCUGGUGUAGCGGUGGAAUGCGCAGAUAUCAGGAGGAACACCGAUGGCGAAGGCAGAUCUUUGGGCCGUAACUGACGCUGAGGAGCGAAAGCAUGGGGAGCGAACAGG
rnacentral:rRNA from 1 species